rnacentral:sRNA from 1 species
AUUCAAGCGAUAUGCUAAACUUACUCUGUAUUCGUGAUACCUUCGAUCCUUUUCUUUGCGAAGCCACCACGUGUUCGCCGAUAAAGCAUCGGCAUUUCCCGGGUACAGAAUUUUUUACGGAGGUACCUCAAAUGAACAGCGGUACUGUGAAAUGGUUCAACGCUGAAAAGGGUUAUGGCUUCAUCUCCAAUGACAACGGCGGCGAUGACGUGUUUGUGCACUUCUCUGCCAUCCAGGUGGAAGGCUUCAAGACCCUUACCGAGGGACAAAAGGUGACGUUUGAUACCGAACCCGAUCCCAAAAACAGCGAAAAACUCCGCGCGAUCAACGUUUGCCCCGUCAAAUAAAAUCGCAAGGCACAAUAAAAAAGGCGCUUUUU